CACACUGCCAGGGAAGAUGGAUGCAGACACUGUUUAAGAUAAAGGAGCAGAUUUAGGCCAUUCAGCCCUUUGAGUCAGCUUGCCAUUCCAUCAUGGCUGAUAUAUUCAAUCCUACUCUCCUGCCUUCUCCAGAUAACUGACAACCAAUCAAGAACCUAUCAACCUCUGCUUUACCUACCCAGUGAGUUUGUCUCCACAGCCAUCUGUGGCAUUAAACUCCACAGAUCUGCCAACCUCAGGCUGAAGAAAUUCCUUGCCAUCUGUUGUAAAGGGAUGUACUUGUAUUAUGAGGCUAGUGUGAGGUUCUCCCAUUAUUGGAAACAUCCUCUUCACUCUUUCUAGGCCUUUCAAUAUUUGAUAGGUUUCGAUGAGGUCCCCACUCAUUCUUCUAAACAAAAGGCAUAACCAUACACUUCCCUACACUGUGUUACACCUGCCAUUUCUUUCCCAUUAUCCUAAUCUGUCCAAGUCCUUUUGCAGAUUCACUGCUUCCUCAACACUGUCUGUCCCCCCUCCUAUCUUUGAAUUGCCCGCAAACUUGGCCACAAAGAUAUAAAUUGUGCCAUCUGGCAGAAACGUGAACGGGCGGGUCGGGUGUUGUGGAGGGGGGAGUGGAAUCUGGAUCAUGUGCAGACAGGUGGGAUUUGUUAGAUUGCUGUCAUGGUUAGUGUACACAUGAUGGAAAAUGGAGGCUUUUUUCUGUACUGUACCAUUCUAUGUUCUAUGUUACCAGGGUCUUUAGAAGACAGUUACACCAUGUACAUGAAGAGAAAUUAUUUGCUAUUUGUGGUUUAAAGCUGAGCCAUGGGAUUUAAAUGAGAUCACUCUCUGAAAGGUCUGCCAUGACCAUGAUGGGCUGAAUUACUCCUAUGUUGAAAGGUUCCAUGAUUCAGCUGCUCGUCAGCAAGUCUCGUCUGAUGUCAAGACUCCAGUGAGACUGUGUUGCUUCGUUCACUGCUGGCCCUGUUCCCCAACUCCAAUGGAGGUGAUGUGAACAUCCAGAUGAGUGGCAAAAGUUUAACAAAGAAUAUCGUGGCUCUCAGCCAAGUGUUACUGCUGAGAAAUCAAACUGGGGGCACCUCUUGAUCUGGUCUCUGGUCACCUUGGGUGGAAGCUGCAGCAAAGAAUAGUAGAAGAGUGGCUUUGACUGGGCAGGAACUGAGAAGAAGAUCUCUGGACUAGUGUUCGUGAGAAAGCGCUCUGCUGCAGCAGCUACUGGGGCAGAGUUUGUAAUCAGUCAACAUCUGCAAAAGCUUUGUCACAGAAGCCGUUUAGACCCAAAUAGAGAAGCCUCAUAACUUUCCUUCAUGACAGAGCACUGCCUCGGAUGACCUUCUGUGGAAAUGUUGUGAAGGCGACUGAUGAGCGGAAUCUUCAACCAAAGGAACAAAACUGCUGAAAGCAUGUAUCCUUGAUUAGUGUUAUAAAUAAGCAGCUUUAUUAAUGCAAGCU